rnacentral:rRNA from 1 species
GUGAGGAAUUUUCCGCAAUGGGCGAAAGCCUGACGGAGCAAUGCCGCGUGAAGGAUGAAGGCCUAUGGGUUGUAAACUUCUUUUCUCAGAAAAGAAUUAUGACGGUAUCUGAGGAAUAAGCACCGGCUAACUCUGUGCCAGCAGCCGCGGUAAGACAGAGGAUGCAAGCGUUAUCCGGAAUGAUUGGGCGUAAAGCGUCUGUAGGUUGUUUAAAAAGUAUUCUGUCAAAGAUUAGGGCUUAACCCUAGAUAGGCAGAAUAAACUUUUAAGCUAGAGUUUGGUAGAGGCAGAGGGAAUUCCCGGUGGAGCGGUGAAAUGCGUAGAUAUCGGGAGGAACACCAAAGGCGAAGGCACUCUGCUGGGCCAAUACUAACACUGAGAGACGAAAGCGAGGGGAGCAAAUGGGAUUAGAAACCCUUGUAGUCC